GGGGAGGCUAGGGAUAACAAACUGGUAAUUAGUAAUAGGCUCUUUUCGCCAAGGGAUUGGGUUAAGGGUAGACCAAGAAAGUUUGCAUGGCAAUAUGAUAAAUAAGCGAAUUAAAUAAGAAGAGUAGAUAUAUGAGGGUGGAUGAUAGGUGUCGCGGCCCAUACAAAUUUGAUUGCAUAUUAGAAAUGCAGUAUAGCUAGGGGAUGACCCCUAGGUCGUCUCCCAAAGACCAAUUUUGCAGUUCGAGAAUCGAGUCUAACACGAAGGGGGGAGGGUUGAAAGUGUGUUGCAAAAAUUAACGAUCUCAAUAUAAAGACACAGAUGCAAACAAACUAAUUAAAGCUAGCAUGGUAAUUAAACUAACACUAUUAAAAAUCUUAGACAACAUUCAAAUAUCAAAUACUCUUGCAAACAAAUUAACAAACACAGUUAAAAUUAAUUAAACUUCACACAAAUUCAAACACAUUAAACUCAACCUAUCAACCAAAUUAAUUAAAAACCAAGGAAACCAACAAGCCUAAUUUAAUCCUAACAAAUUACUUGACAUGAUGGCAAUUAAAAAAUGAAUUUGAAAGUCCAAUUGGCCAAAGAAAGAGCACAUGGCCGUGAGUUACCCAAGUAUCAAAGUCAAACUUCAAUUUCAAUCUUCAAUAAACUAUAAAAUAUGUUGGCCUCUUGUCCUAUGUGCUCCAAUCUUCAAGACAAUACACACGUGCCUUCCAAAUACAAUGAACCGUCCUCUCUCUUCCAAUGCAGCAAAGAAAUCUGAAUCCACACUCUAAAGCACACAAUUGCCGUGAGCUACUACCUUCCUUCCAAAUCAAAGGCAACUUUCUUCAAUGCACAAAUACAAAAAGUAAAAUUGCUUCUACCAAGGUGCCACAUGUGCAAGCUUAAAAGGAAUAAAACAAACAAGUCAUUCUCUUCUUCAUAUGAUGUUCACGGCAAUUGCUAGCAAAGUCCAAAACCAAAAUGGCAAAAUUCCUUCUAUGGAAAUUGGGUCUCAACAUUUGUUUGUCCAAAUCGGGUAAAAACUUAAAUGCACCAUUUUCUCUCUCCCUUUCAACCCAUUUUCGGUUUUCCUCUACCAAAGCAAACAUCCAAAGCUUCUCCAUCUUCAAAAACCGAGAACACACACCCAAGAAACCCCAUUUCAAGUUGCAACACCAUUCAAGACAAUAAACCCACACUACUACUACUUCAACUCAACCCAAUCUUCCAUUUCUUCA
rnacentral:lncRNA from 1 species